rnacentral:lncRNA from 1 species
AAUAGGCAUACAGUAAGAUGUGGACUGGAGAUAGAGGCUGGAUUGGAUACUUUAUAUAAUCUUGAAUGUUGUAAUGAUUGACUGCUAAACAUACAUUUAUGAUAUUCUGAUAUGCUUUCAAUAUGUUAUCAAAACAGUUUUUAACAGGUUCUAGGCAUUUUUUAUCAGAAAAUAUGCAAAUAGGGUAAGCUGGCAAUAAUUAAAGUCUUGUUUUCAAAUUCUUUAAAAAAUUGAAACAGGGGAGGGGUAUAAAAUGUAUAGUAAAGAAAAACUUAGAGUAUACACAGUGAUUUCUUUAAGACUUUAAUUCUGAUAAAUGAGUAUUAAUGUGAGAAAAACUGAUUUUAGAGAGUUUUCUAUUUGAAUAAAUGUCUGUAUAGGUUGCACUUUGUAAAUACAGCUGUUUCUCAAAACACG